rnacentral:rRNA from 1 species
GUGUCAGCAGCCGCGGUAAUACGUAGGGAGCAAGCGUUGUCCGGAAUCAUUGGGCGUAAAGCGCGCGUAGGCGGCCCUGUAAGUCCGUUGUGAAAGUCAAAGGCUCAACCUUUGAAAGCCGAUGGAUACUGCAGGGCUAGAGUCCGGAAGAGGCGAGUGGAAUUCCUGGUGUAGCGGUGGAAUGCGCAGAUAUCAGGAGGAACACCAAUAGCGAAGGCAGCUCGCUGGGACGGUACUGACGCUAAGGCGCGAAAGCGUGGGGAGCGAACAGGAUUAGAUACCCCCGUAGUCC